rnacentral:rRNA from 1 species
ACAGAGGCGGCAAGCGUUGUUCGGAAUUAUUGGGCGUAAAGCGCGUGUAGGCGUCUCUGUCCUUCUUUUUUGCCCUCCUUCCUCUUCCCGGAAGAAUUUCGGUCGGAACUGCAUGGCUUGAGUGCGGGAGGGGAGAGUGGAACUUCUGGUGGAGCGGUGAAAUGCGUAGAUAUCAGAAGGAACGUCGGCGGCGAAAGCGACUCUCUAGACCGUAACUGACGCUGAGUGUGCGAAAGCUAGGGGAGCAAACGG